rnacentral:rRNA from 1 species
CAAUUAAUUUGAGGGGGAAAAAUUAAUAAAUUUUUAAUUAAUAAAAGUAAUUUUAAUAUUAUAAUGGGGGUUUUAGUAUUAAUAAAGAAAUAAUUUAAAAAUUUAUAGUAAAUUAGUAAUGUAAAUGAAAUUUUGAAAUAAUUUGAAAAUUAAUUUUUAUAAAAGUAAAUUUAAUUUGUUGUAUCUUGUGUAUCAGAGUUUAUUAAUAAAUUAUUUUAAAUAAAAAAUUCUCGAAUUAAAAAGAGAUAAUUAAUUAUAAAAGUUAUUGUUGCAUAAAUAUUUUAAAUAAUUAAUUUGAAAUGAAAUGUUAAUCGUUUUUUAAUAUAUCUAGUUUUUUUAGAAAAAAAUUAAAUUUUAUUUUUAUUUUAUAAAAUAUUUAAUUAAAUAAUUAUUUUAAAAUAAAAUUUAAUAAUUUAAGGGAUAAGCUUUAAAUUAAAUUUUUAUAAUUAUAUUAAAUGAAAUUUUGAAAUUUUUAAUAUUUAUAUUGUUUAUAAAUUAUAAUUUAUUAUAAAUAAUUUCAAUUAAAUUAAAAUUUUAUAGAUAAUUUAAUUUUUUAUAAAAAAAUAAUUUAUAAUUUAUUAAAAUUAAUUAUAAUGAUAAAAUUAGUAUAAUAAAUUUAAUAAUUAAUUUAAUUUAUAAUAAAUUAAUUUAAAGGAAUUCGGCAAAUAUAUAUAUUCACUUGUUUAUCAAAAACAUGUCUUUUUGAAAAUAAUUUAAAGUCUAAUCUGCCCACUGAUAAAUAAUUAAAGGGCUGCAGUAUUUUGACUGUACAAAGGUAGCAUAAUCAUUAGUCUCUUAAUUGGUGACUUGUAUGAAGGAUUGGAUGAAAUAUAAACUGUCUCUAAGUUAAAAAUAAAAUUUAAUUUUUUAGUUAAAAAGCUAAAAUGAUAUUAAAAGACGAGAAGACCCUAUAGAGUUUUAUAGAUUAUUUUAUUAAAAUUAUAUGUAAAAUUUUUAAUUGAAAUAAAAUAAUUUAUUAUGUUGGGGUGAUAAAAAAAUAAAAAUAACUUUUUUUUAGAAAAACCAUAAAUAAAUGAGUAAUUGAUCCAAAAUAAUUUUGAUUAAAAGAAAAAAUUACCUUAGGGAUAACAGCGUAAUUUUUUUUUUUAGUUCAAAUAAGAAAAAGAGUUUGCGACCUCGAUGUUGGAUUAAGAUAAAAUUUAAACGCAAAAGUUUAAAAUUUUGAUCUGUUCGAUCAUUAAAAUCUUACAUGAUCUGAGUUCAAACCGGUGUGAGCCAGGUUGGUUUCUAUCUUUAGUAAAAUAAAAUAUUUUAGUACGAAAGGAUUAAAUAUUUAAAUUAAAUUUAUUUUAAGAAUAUUAUUAAUUAUUUUAUAAAUAAUAAACUAUUUUGUCAGACAAAAUGUAAU